rnacentral:rRNA from 1 species
GUGCCAGCGCCGCGGUAAUACCGGCAGCCCGAGUGAUGGCCACUCUUAUUGGGCCUAAAGCGUCCGUAGCCGGCCUCGCAAGUCCGUCGGGAAAUCCAGUAGCUCAACUACUGGGCGUCCGGCGGAAACUACAAGGCUUGGGACCGGAAGACCCGACGGGUACGUCCAGGGUAGGAGUGAAAUCCUGUAAUCCUGGACGGACCGCCGAUGGCGAAAGCACGUCGGGAAGACGGAUCCGACGGUGAGGGACGAAAGCCAGGGUCUCCAACCGGAUUAGAUACCCGUGUAGUCC